UACGUAGGGGGGCUAGCGUUGUCCGGAAUUAUUGGGCGUAAAGGGCGCGUAGGCGGCCAUGCGUGUCUUCCGUGAAAUCCCUCGGCUUAACUGAGGACGUGCGGAAGAAACUGCAAGGCUCGAGUCCGGGAGAAGGGGGGUGGAAUUCCCAGUGUAGCGGUGAAAUGCGUAGAUAUUGGGAGGAACACCGGUGGCGAAGGCGGCCCCCCUGGACCGGUACUGACGCUGAGGCGCGAAAGCGUGGGUAGCAAACGGG
rnacentral:rRNA from 1 species